AUUCCAGGUUAUGUAGGCUUGGAUGGUGCAACUGGACGAGAGCACCGCGAUUUUGGCGGCCAGCACGUUGACGUUUCCAGCGGUGGCGUCGGAAUUCCGAGCCUGCCCUCCUGCCAGGUGAAAGCCGACGGUCACCACCGAGACGAUCAGAGUCACAAACCGGCCCGAGACGAACACAACCGCCCACAGGGAAAACUCCUUGUGGUACUUGUCGUCCCUGAAGUAGAAGAGGUCACAGAUGUGGGAAAGGAAUUCCACGAAGUAAGCUCCGGCAAUGUGGAAGAGGUGCAGCCCGAUGUAGACCAGCUGGCGCGGGACGUCCUGCUUUUUGAUCCUCUGGAAGUAGAGCUCCGGGAAGGCGUGGAACCAGUAAGCCAGCUGCGAUAUGUAGAAGAACUUCAUCUGGAAGGUCAUCAUGUUGUGAGGCGGGGCCCUCCACAGAAGGGUGGGGUCCGACAGGCAGUUUUCCGAAACCAGGAUGGACGUGCCCCAGACACAGGACACGAGGUAGAAGGCGCUGAACUGGCCCGACUCGUUAAAGCGGCUUUGCUUGGGCUUGGGGAACUGCAUCCGCCUGUUGAUCUUGUCCAACACGUACUCCUGGAUGGUGGCGUGAAUGAUGAUCGCCACCAGCAUGUAGAAGAACACCGUGGCCAGGUCUCUGAUGCCGUAGUAGUAGAGGAACUUGGGUUCCGGCGCUCGUUCCUCGGCCGCGGGGAAGGGGACGCUGUGCUGCAGGGUGAUGAAGACGAUGGAGGCCUCGGCCGUGCCCUCGAACAUCAGCCCCAGCACGAAGAACAUCCCCACGCAGGCGACGAGGUCCGCGUGGUUCUGCAGGAUGAACUCGUGGCUCAGCACCGGGGGGUUCUUGGCGCUCUUCUUGCGAAACGCCAUGGCAGCGCUUCCCACACGCUCUCCGACGAGCCGCGGCGGCCUCCGCGCCCGCCGCCCCCCCGCCCCCGCCCCCGCCGCCGCCGCCGCCCUCCUCACCGCGCCGCCGCCGCCGCCGCCGCCGCCGCCGCAGCAGCUCCGGGGACUCCCCGCCCCAUCCCCGAGCCGGCCCCGGGUCGCCGCGGCCGCCCGGAGCACCGCGAGCCAAGGCGAGGGCCGGGCCGCACUGAGCAUGCGCGCCACGGCCCGGCGGAGGCAGGGAAGGAAAUCGAGCGCCGCGCCCCUGCCCCGCGCCAGGCCCGGGCUUGCGAGCGUGGAUGCGAGCGUGGAUCGUCGGCGCCGCCGCCCGCCGCCCGCCCCCCGGCCCCCGCCCCCGCCCCCGCCCGCGCCGUCCAGCGGCUUCCCGAGUCCCCGCGCCGCGGCGGCUCCGGGGGAGGUCGGGGCGAGGCGGGACGGCCACUCCGGCUGCGCGUCAGCGUCACCGCGUGA
rnacentral:lncRNA from 1 species